UCCCUCUAUCUCACCCGACACUCUCCUCUCUCCCCUCACCAUGUCGCCUCUCUCCUCUCCGUUGAGCCGCCGCACCGCCACCGCACCGCGCCACUGCUCGAUCUGCCUCCCCUUUUCGUCGGUCACUGCUGAUGCGGUUGUUGUUGAUUUGUGGGGCAGAUUCACAACUUCUCUCUCCUCUCGUCUCCUCCCCUCUCUCGUCCCAGUUGUGUGACGCCGCCGCAGGUGGUGGUUGCAAAAACCACCCAUGUUGAUUUUCUUUCUUCAAUUGAAUUUCCUUCUUGCUUUUCCAUUUAAAUUCAAGGGUUAAUUGUUAGAAGAGGAAUAAAGAGAAUAGAGCUAGUUAUGGAGUUAAGUGGAGAUCGAUGAUCCAAUAUGUAUCUCAUGGAGUUUAUAUGUGCUGGUGAUUCAAGAGUUGUAUUUUGCAGGACUAUGAAGAUCAUGAGUAAGUUAUCGGCUAGAAGAUGCUUAAUGGUUAUUUCAAGGUGCAACUAAAUCCAGAUAAUGUUUUAAGAAGAUAAUUUUAGUUAUCAAAGUCGUAACCGAAGCUUUCUCAACUUAUUAUUAAGUUGGUUGUAAUUUAUUGUACCUAGGUAAUAUUUUUGGGUUAUUGUUGUUGAUUAAGCUUGUGAUUGAUUAUUUGAAGUUGUUGGAGGAGUUCAGAUUAUAUAGCUGGGUUAAUUGUAGUUUAUUAUUUAUAGAUUACAUAUUCGUGUUAGAGUUGUAGUUAAGUCAAGUUGUUUGGUUCAAGUUUAAGUGAGAUUAGAAGUAGCUAGCUCAUUAAGUGUGGGUUGUCACAGUGACACCCUGGUGUUGUUUUGGGAAAUGUUAUGUUGGAAUGUUGUAAUUGAAGCAGGUGAAAGAAAAUCUGACGUAAUAUCCUAAGCAAUGUUUUAGGUUGUCCAUAUUUAAGGGAAGUGCUGCCGAAUUUUUUUUUAUAAUUAAUUAAGUUUAAGAGUUUUAAUUAGUGUCUUUGAGAUCUAAGCCCGUGAUUAAAUCUUUGAAGUUGCUUGAAGAGUUAAAGUUUGUUUAGCAGGUGUUAAUUUGUAACUUGCAAGCAGCUCGU